rnacentral:rRNA from 1 species
AGCUCCAAUAGCGUAUAUUAAAGUUGCUGCAGUUAAAAAGCUCGUAGUUGCAUUUCCGAGGCAAGGGAUUAGUCCGACCUUUGGUGGGUAUUUAAUCCUCUUGCCUCGUCCUUGAGUGGUGCUUCUUGGUAUUAAGUUAUCGAGGAGAUAGCCGCUCAUCGUUUACUGUGAGAAAAUUAGAGUGUUCAAAGCAGGCUUAUGCCGUUGAAUAUAUUAGCAUGGAAUAAUAAGAUAGGACCUCGGUACUAGUGUGUUGGUUUGAGAACCAAGGUAAUGAUGAAUAGGGACAGUUGGGGGUAUUCGUAUUCAGUUGUCAGAGGUGAAAUUCUUAGAUUUACGGAAGACGAACUACUGCGAAAGCAUUUACCAAGGAUGUUUUCA